rnacentral:rRNA from 1 species
ACGGGGCCCGCACAGGCGGUGGAGUAUGUGGUUUAAUUCGAUGCAACGCGAAGAACCUUACCUGGUCUUGACAUCCCGGAGACCCUUAGGAAACUAGGGGGUGCUUCCAUCUGGAAGAAUCUGGAGACAGGUGCUGCAUGGCUGUCGUCAGCUCGUGUCGUGAGAUGUUGGGUUAAGUCCCGCAACGAGCGCAACCCUUGCCUUUAGUUGCCAGCAGUUCGGCUGGGCACUCUAAAGGGACUGCCGGUGUUAAACCGGAGGAAGGUGGGGAUGACGUCAAGUUCUCAUGGCCUUUAUGACCAGGGCUACACACGUACUACAAUGGCCGAUACAAAGGGCAGCGACACUGCGAGGUGAAGCCAAUCCCGUAAAAUCGGUCUCAGUCCGGAUUGGAGUCUGCAACUCGACUCCAUGAAGUUGGAAUCGCUAGUAAUCGUGGAUCAGCAUGCCACGGUGAAUACGUUCCCGGGCCUU